rnacentral:rRNA from 1 species
GAUGAACGCUGGCGGCGUGCCUAAUACAUGCAAGUAGAACGCUGAAGGAGGAGCUUGCUCUUUCCGGAUGAGUUGCGAACGGGUGAGUAACGCGUAGGUAACCUGCCUGGUAGCGGGGGAUAACUAUUGGAAACGAUAGCUAAUACCGCAUAACAGUAGAUAUUGCAUGAUAUUUGCUUGAAAGGGGCAAUUGCUCCACUACCAGAUGGACCUGCGUUGUAUUAGCUAGUUGGUGAGGUAACGGCUCACCAAGGCGACGAUACAUAGCCGACCUGAGAGGGUGGUCGGCCACACUGGGACUGGGACACGGCCCAGACUCCUACGGGAGGCAGCAGUAGGGAAUCUUCGGCAAUGGACGGAAGUCUGACCGAGCAACGCCGCGUGAGGGAAGAAGGUUUUCGGAUCGUAAAGCUCUGUUGUAAGAGAAGAACGAGUGUGAGAGUGGAAAGUUCACACUGUGACGGUAUCUUACCAGAAAGGGACGGCUAACUACGUG